UCGAAGACGAUUAGACACCGUCGUAGUCUUAACUAUAAACUAUGCCGACCAGGGAUAUGAGGUAAUUGUUAUUAUAUAAACAAAUUAAAAAUUUGUUUAUCCUUGUGGACCUUGUGAGAAAUCAUAAGUUUUUGGGUUCUGGGGGGAGUAUGGUCGCAAGGCAUCGCUUAGUAUUUUAUUGCUUUUAGAUGUAGUAAUUGGGUAAAACUGGUUAUGAAACCUAAGGGAUCACAAUAAGGUAUUAAGUGGGGUUCCAGUUCAUUUACUUUGAGUAAAUUAGAGUGUUCAAAGCAGCCUGUAUGGGCAUUGAAUAGAUUAGCAUGGGAUAAUAGAAUAGGAUUCUUGUCUAUUUAUUGGUUUAUAGACUUAGAAUAAUGAUUAAUAGGGAUAGUUGGGGGGCACUUGUAUUCAAUAGUCAGAG
rnacentral:rRNA from 1 species